UCUGGUCAGAACGAACGCUGGUAGCGUGGAUUAGGCAUGCAAGUCGAACGGGAUCCGGAAGGCAGCAAUGUCGGCCGGUGAGAGUGGCGGAAGGGCGAGGAACACGUGGGCAACCUGUCCAGGAGGUGGGGAAAACCUCGGGAAACUGAGGCUAAUACCGAAUGCGGCGCGGAAGGGCAUCCUUCCAGCGCCAAAGGGGGCGAAAGCUCCCCCUCCACGAGGGGCCCGCGCACCAUCGGCUAGUUGGCGGGUAACGGCCCACCAAGGCUCACGGUUAGCUGGUCUGAGAGGAUGGCCAGCCGCACUGGGACUGAGAUACUGCCCAGACUCCUACGGGAGGCUGCAGUCGAGGAUCAUUCGCAAUGGGCGAAAGCCUGACGAUGCGACGCUGCGUGGAGGAUGAAGGCCUUCGGGUUGUAAACUCCUGUCAUGAGGGAAAAGGAGACCCUACCCAAUACGUAGGGGAUUUGAUGGUACCUCAAGAGGAAGGGACGGCUAACUCUGUGCCAGCCGCAGC
rnacentral:rRNA from 1 species